rnacentral:rRNA from 1 species
UACGGGGGGGGCAAGCGUUGUUCGGAAUUACUGGGCGUAAAGGGCCAGUAGGCGGCCAACUAAGUCCGACGUGAAAUCCCAAGGCUUAACCUUGGAACUGCGUCGGAUACUGGAUGGCUUGAAUUCGGGAGAGGGAUGCAGAAUUCCAGGUGUAGCGGUGAAAUGCGUAGAUAUCUGGAGGAACACCAGCGGCGAAGGCGGCGCUCUGGGCCGGUACUGACGCUGAGGAGCGAAAGCGUGGGUAGCAAACAGG